rnacentral:lncRNA from 1 species
CUGGUGACUAUGGAAAAUGAAAGCAAGUUCACGCUGACAAUGCCCGUAAAGAGCUUUGUGAAGCCAUGACAGUGCUCUUCAAUUUUAACAUGAAGAAGAGGGCAUGUGAGUUAGCAAGACUGGCCAGAGGCCAGAGCCCGGGGCCAGCAAACCUUUCCCUGCUGUGAGGUGGGCAAGUUAGUUGCUCCAAAAACAAGAUAAAAUGAUUGAGUUCUUUUCUCAAGCGGGAGUCGGAGUUUAUCUGCUCUGAGAGCCCCAGCAGCUACUAUUAAUGAGUGUCUGGAAUAUGUUCCUGGCAUUUCACCUACCCUCUCUCCAAUCCUUCCAAGAAACUCACAAAGCAGGGCUUUUUCUUGAACUUCUCUUCCUCACAACAGUUAAAUCAUCCAUUUAAAGAUGUCAAACAACCUCCGUGUUCUAAGGACACAGCAUGUACAACCUCACAUAGAGUUCCUGACCAGACAAGACUUGCUGGAAAUUUCCCAGGAUCUUCCUUCCUUAAGCAUCCAUCAUGGGAAGCCACCUUGCCCUAGGGAGAGCUCCUGACCUAGGGUCAGGAAUAUAUUAAGGAAGACAGCAAUUAAUACAUUCAAAAAUAAUAAUAAUUACAAAUUAUGUCUCUGUGUUAGGAAAACUUGGAUAAGCAGGUCCAUAGAAAUUCCUCUGCUAGCCCUGUCUCCUGGAAUUUCUACAUAAUGGCAUAUCCUCAGUUUGAAUAGCUCUCUGGUUCCAGUUUGAAGCUGAAAAGGUUAAAUUCUACCUGAAGGAUGAAAACAACCAACAUUCUGUGCCAAGACAGUCAGGAGGGCAACCAUGUUUCCUGGUGGAGCCUCUGGAACCACUCAAGCCAAGAUGACCGGGGGUUUGGCUGGGAGGAGAUGGGGAAACUACAGACCCUACAGAUGGUUUCCUGUACCAUGAGGUUAAGCCUGGGGGCAGGAGAGGCUGUACCUUAGUUCCUUCAUCUGUAAAAUAAAGUAACAUAGUACCUACCUCA